rnacentral:tRNA from 1 species
GCCGGCAUGGCGGAAUUGGCAGACGCGGCGCACUCAAACUGCGCUUCCUCACGGAGUCAGGGUUCGAGUCCCUGUGCCGGCACCG